rnacentral:rRNA from 1 species
UACGUAGGAGGCGAGCGUUGUCCGGAUUCAUUGGGCGUAAAGAGCUCGUAGGCGGUUUGUUGCGUCGGCUGUGAAAUCCCGAGGCUCAACCUCGGGUCUGCAGUCGAUACGAGCAAACUAGAGUGUUGCAGGGGAGACUGGAAUUCCUGGUGUAGCGGUGAAAUGCGCAGAUAUCUGGAGGAACACCGGUGGCGAAGGCGGCAUCCUGGACCAACACUGACGCUGAGGAGCGAAAGCCAGGGGAGCAAACGGG